rnacentral:snoRNA from 1 species
AUCCCAUGAUGAGGACAGGCGGCGACGUACUCCUGCAGACGCUCCCAGGCUUCAGGUAUCGACUCAUCCUUCGCCUUGUUGGAAGCUUGAAAUCCUCCCACGAAGGGC